rnacentral:rRNA from 1 species
AUUGAACGCUGGCGGCAGGCCUAACACAUGCAAGUCGAGCGGAGCGGCGGACGGGUGAUUUAUGCCUAGGAAUCUGCCUGGUAGUGGGGGAUAACGUCCGGAAACGGGCGAUAAUACCGCAUACUAUCAGAUGAGCCUAGGUCGGAUUAGCAAGUUGGUGGGGUACAGGCCUACCAAGGCGACGAUCCGUAACUGGUCUGAGAGGAUGAUCAGUCACACUGGAACUGAGACACGGUCCAGACUCCUACGGGAGGCAGCAGUGGGGAAUAUUGGACAAAGGGCGAAAGACUGAUACAGCAAGGCCGCGUGUGUGAAGAAGGUCUUCGGAUUGUAAAGCACUUUAAGUUGGGAGGCGUUACCAACAGAAUAAGCACCGGCUAACUUCGUGCCAGCAGCCGCGGUAAUUC